rnacentral:rRNA from 1 species
GAUGAACGCUAGCGGCAGGCUUAAUACAUGCAAGUCGAGGGGCAGCAGGGGUAGCAAUACUCGCUGGCGACCGGCAAACGGGUGCGGAACACGUACGCAACCUUCCCAUAACUGGUGAAUAGCCUUCCGAAAGGGAGAUUAAUACACCGUAACAUAAUGAAGUGGCAUCACUUUAUUAUUAUAGCUCCGGCGGUUAUGGAUGGGCGUGCGCCUGAUUAGGUAGUUGGUAGGGUAACGGCCUACCAAGCCUUCGAUCAGUAACUGGUGUGAGAGCACGACCAGUCACACGGGCACUGAGACACGGGCCCGACUCCUACGGGAGGCAGCAGUAAGGAAUAUUGGUCAAUGGACGCAAGUCUGAACCAGCCAUGCCGCGUGAAGGAUGAAGGCCCUCUGGGUUGUAAACUUCUUUUAUCUGGGACGAAAAUAGGCUUUCCAGCUUACUUGACGGUACCAGAGGAAUAAGCACCGGCUAACUCCGUGCCAGCAGCCGCGGUAAAACGU